rnacentral:rRNA from 1 species
GUACUUUCAGCAGUGAGGAAGGUGUUGUCGUUAAUAGCGGCAUCAUUUGACGUUAGCUGCAGAAGAAGCACCGGCUAACUCCGUGCCAGCAGCCGCGGUAAUACGGAGGGUGCGAGCGUUAAUCGGAAUUACUGGGCGUAAAGCGCAUGCAGGUGGUUUGUUAAGUCAGAUGUGAAAGCCCGGGGCUCAACCUCGGAAUUGCAUUUGAAACUGGCAGACUAGAGUACUGUAGAGGGGGGUAGGAAUUUCAGGUGUAGCGGUGAAAUGCGUAGAGAUCUGAAGGAAUACCGGUGGCGAAGGCGGCCCCCUGGACAGAUACUGACACUCAGAUGCGAAAGCGUGGGGAGCAAACAGGAGUAGAUACCCUGGUAG